AAGAAUUUAUACUGGUUCAGUUGUCAACUUGACAACCUACAUCCAGUCCUGCAAAUCCAAACGGAUUUCAGAUUUUCUUCUCCAAUAGAAAGAAUCAAUUACAAAUUGUCCAGUUUCCUCCCCGAAACCUAUCUAUCUUAAUGAUCUCUUUCCUAUUGAUCACCCUCUGAUCCUUGUAGAUACUCGUCAAUCUAACACAGAAUCA
rnacentral:lncRNA from 1 species